UAUAGUGUAGUACAGUGGUUUGAGUAUUGGACUAUGACUCUGGAGACCAGGGUUCAAUUCCCUGUUCGGCCA